UCGAGAAUCUUUCGCAAUGGGCGAAAGCCUGACGAUGCGACGCCGCGUGAGCGAUGAAGGCCUUCGGGUUGUAAAGCUCUGUCACACGGGAAGAACGUCCUAUGGAUGAAUAAUUCAGAGGGCUGACUGUACUGUGAGAGGAAGCCACGGCUAACUCCGUGCCAGCAGCCGCGGUAAUACGGAGGUGGCAAACGUUGUUCGGAUUUAUUGGGUGUAAAGGGUAUGUAGGUGGGCUUGUAAGUCGGAUGUGAAAUCCUUUGGCUUAACCAAAGAACUGCAUUCGAAACUACUUGUCUUGAGUUUGGGAUAGGAGAGUGGAAUUCUCGGUGUAAGGGUGAAAUCUGUAGAUAUCGAGAGGAACACCAGUGGCGAAAGCGGCUCUCUGGACCAAAACUGACGC
rnacentral:rRNA from 1 species